AAUUUUGGACAAUGGGGGCAACCCUGAUCCAGCCAUCCCGCGUGUGCGAUGAAGGCCUUCGGGUUGUAAAGCACUUUUGGCAGGGAAGCAAAGGCGCGGGUUAAUACCCUUUGCCGCUGACGGUACUUGCACAAUAAGCCCCGGUGUAUUACCUCCCAUCAGCCGCGGUAAUACGUAGGGUGCAAGCGUUAAUCGGAAUUACUGGGCGUAAAGCGUGCGUCGGCGGUUUGGCAAGAAAGGUGUGAAAUCCCAGGGCUUAACCUUGGAACUGCACUUUUAACUGCCAGGCUAGAGUAUGUCAGAGGGGGGUAGAAUUCCGCGUGUAGCAGUGAAAUGCGUAGAGAUGCGGAGGAAUACCGAUGGCGAAGGCAGCCCCCUGGGAUAAUACUGACGCUCAGGCACGAAAGCGUGGGGAGCAAACG
rnacentral:rRNA from 1 species